rnacentral:rRNA from 1 species
CACGUAGGGCGCAAGCGUUGUCCGGAAUUAUUGGGCGUAAAGAGCUCGUAGGCGGUCUGUUGCGUCCGCUGUGAAAACCCGGGGCUUAACCCCUGGCUUGCAGUGGAUACGGACAGACUAGAGGUAGGUAGGGGAGAAUGGAAUUCCCGGUGUAGCGGUGAAAUGCGUAGAUAUCGUAAGGAAGACCAGUGGCGAAGGCGGGUCUCUGGGCCGAAAUUGACGCUGAGGAGCGAAAGUGUGGGGAGCGAACAGG